rnacentral:lncRNA from 1 species
CCUUGAACCAAUCACUGUGGCCAGGGAAAACAAAAGUUGAUUGGCUAGGUGUGGGUCCUCUGUCUCACUCUGGAGUUGUUGAGGGCAGAGGCAUGGCCAGCCUUUUUCAAAUUAAAUAGAUUGAAAGAGGAGAGAAGUAGUUCCCCAAAAGAAAACAAUGGAACACUGGGGUGAGGUGGGGAGCCAGGUAGCUGGAAUUGCAUGUGCAGAGGCUCUUGGGACUUGCCUCUUAAGUUCAAGGAUCAGCAAGGUCACUUCUGCUACACUAUGGACUUCUGUUACAGCGUCCUCCACCCUGCCCGCAGUUGCAUCCUGUAUACGGAUCCAUGAACAUCCCUUUCACAUGCGUAACUCUCUUAUCCAAGUGGGUAAGGCUGUGGCUUUGUACCUCAUUCUCCGUACUCGACUGGUAAAAAGUUACCAUUUCUCUGUUCCUUUUAAAAGUGGGUGUGAUGGGGCUGGGUUUGUGGCUCAGCUGUAGAGCGCUUGCCUAGCAUGUGUGAGGCCCUGGGUUCGAUCCUCAGCACCACAUAAAAUAAAAUGGGGAUAUUGUGUCCAUCUACAACUAAAAAAUAAAAUAAAGCG